UACGAAGGGGGCUAGCGUUGCUCGGAAUCACUAGGCGUAAAGCGCACGUAGGCGGCUUUUUAAGUCAGAGGUGAAAUCCUGGAGCUCAACUCCAGAACUGCCUUUGAUACUGGAGAGCUUGAGUCCGGGAGAGGUGAGUGGAACUGCGAGUGUAGAGGUGAAAUUCGUAGAUAUUCGCAAGAACACCAGUGGCGAAGGCGGCUCACUGGCCCGGUACUGACGCUGAGGUGCGAAAGCGUGGGGAGCAAACAGG
rnacentral:rRNA from 1 species